rnacentral:rRNA from 1 species
GGGCCCGCACAAGCGGUGGAGCAUGUGGUUUAAUUCGACGCAACGCGCAGAACCUUACCAGGGUUUGACAUCCUGUGCUCACUCCUGAAAGGGAGCUUCCCCGCAAGGGGCGCAGAGACAGGUGCUGCAUGGCUGUCGUCAGCUCGUGUCGUGAGAUGUUGGGUUAAGUCCCGCAACGAGCGCAACCCUCGCCUUUAGUUGCCAUCAUUCAGUUGGGCACUCUAGAGGGACCGCCGGCGGCAAGCCGGAGGAAGGUGGGGAUGAAGUCAAGUCAUCAUGGCCCUUACACCCUGGGCUACACACGUGCUACAAUGGCGGUGACAAUGGGCAGCGAGCUCGCGAGAGUCAGCUAAUCCCAAAAAACCGUCCCAGUUCAGAUUGCACUCUGCAACUCGGGUGCAUGAAGGUGGAAUCGCUAGUAAUCGCAGAACAGCAGGCUGCGGUGAAUACGUUCCCGGGCCUU